AUUUGCUUAAAAUUUAAAGAAUUUGGCGGUAAUUUAGUCUAGUUAGAGGAACCUGUUCAUUAAUCGAUAAACCUCGUAAUAUCUUACUUAUUUUGAAGUGGUUUAGUUUGUAUACCAUCAUUAUCAGAUAAUUUUAUUAAAGGACAAAAUUGUUAAAAUUAAUGUUAUUAAAAAAAUUAGAUCAAGGUGCAGCUUAUAAAUAAGUUGAAAUGGGUUACAAUAGAAAUUUAUUUAAAACGGAUUAAUCUUUUGAAAAUAAAUUAUAAAGGAGGAUUUAAUUGUAAUACGAAUUUAAUAAGUUUGUAAGAUAUAGGCCCUAAAUUAUGUACACAUC
rnacentral:rRNA from 1 species